UCGAGAAUCAUUCGCAAUGGGCGCAAGCCUGACGGUGCGACGUCGCGUGGAGGAUGAAGGUCUUCGGAUUGUAAACUCCUGUCAUGUGGGAUAAAUGGUCCGGGCGUGAAUAGCGCCUGGAAAUGAUAGUACCACAGGAGGAAGAGACGGCUAACUCUGUGCCAGCAGCCGCGGUAAUACAGAGGUCUCGAGCGUUGUUCGGAUUUACUGGGCGUAAAGGGAGCGUAGGCGGUUUGGUGUGUCGAAUGUGAAAGCCCACAACUCAACUGUGGAAUGGCAUUCGAAACGACCGAGCUAGAGUACUGGAGAGGAGAGCGGAAUUCUUGGUGUAGCGGUGAAAUGCGUAGAUAUCAAGAGGAACACCGGUGGCGAAGGCGGCUCUCUGGACAGAUACUGACGCUGAGGCUCUAAAGUUAGGGGAGCAAACA
rnacentral:rRNA from 1 species